rnacentral:piRNA from 1 species
UGGAACACACAAGGAAACAGUCUCUGCC